UGUGAGCUCGAUGAGUAGGGCGGGACACGUGGUAUCCUGUCUGAAUAUGGGGGGACCAUCCUCCAAGGCUAAAUACUCCUGACUGACCGAUAGUGAACCAGUACCGUGAGGGAAAGGCGAAAAGAACCCCGGCGAGGGGAGUGAAAAAGAACCUGAAACCGUGUACGUACAAGCAGUGGGAGCACGCUUAGGCGUGUGACUGCGUACCUUUUGUAUAAUGGGUCAGCGACUUAUAUUCUGUAGCAAGGUUAACCGAAUAGGGGAGCCGAAGGGAAACCGAGUCUUAACUGGGCGUUAAGUUGCAGGGUAUAGACCCGAAACCCGGUGAUCUAGCCAUGGGCAGGUUGAAGGUUGGGUAACACUAACUGGAGGACCGAACCGACUAAUGUUGAAAAAUUAGCGGAUGACUUGUGGCUGGGGGUGAAAGGCCAAUCAAACCGGGAGAUAGCUGGUUCUCCCCGAAAGCUAUUUAGGUAGCGCCUCGUGAAUUCAUCUCCGGGGGUAGAGCACUGUUUCGGCAAGGGGGUCAUCCCGACUUACCAACCCGAUGCAAACUGCGAAUACCGGAGAAUGUUAUCACGGGAGACACACGGCGGGUGCUAACGUCCGUCGUGAAGAGGGAAACAACCCAGACCGCCAGCUAAGGUCCCAAAGUCAUGGUUAAGUGGGAAACGAUGUGGGAAGGCCCAGACAGCCAGGAUGUUGGCUUAGAAGCAGCCAUCAUUUAAAGAAAGCGUAAUAGCUCACUGGUCGAGUCGGCCUGCGCGGAAGAUGUAACGGGGCUAAACCAUGCACCGAAGCUGCGGCAGCGACGCUGAUGCGUUGUUGGGUAGGGGAGCGUUCUGUAAGCCUGCGAAGGUGUGCUGUGAGGCAUGCUGGAGGUAUCAGAAGUGCGAAUGCUGACAUAAGUAACGAUAAAGCGGGUGAAAAGCCCGCUCGCCGGAAGACCAAGGGUUCCUGUCCAACGUUAAUCGGGGCAGGGUGAGUCGACCCCUAAGGCGAGGCCGAAAGGCGUAGUCGAUGGGAAACAGGUUAAUAUUCCUGUACUUGGUGUUACUGCGAAGGGGGGACGGAGAAGGCUAUGUUGGCCGGGCGACGGUUGUCCCGGUUUAAGCGUGUAGGCUGGUUUUCCAGGCAAAUCCGGAAAAUCAAGGCUGAGGCGUGAUGACGAGGCACUACGGUGCUGAAGCAACAAAUGCCCUGCUUCCAGGAAAAGCCUCUAAGCAUCAGGUAACAUCAAAUCGUACCCCAAACCGACACAGGUGGUCAGGUAGAGAAUACCAAGGCGCUUGAGAGAACUCGGGUGAAGGAACUAGGCAAAAUGGUGCCGUAACUUCGGGAGAAGGCACGCUGAUAUGUAGGUGAAGCGACUUGCUCGUGGAGCUGAAAUCAGUCGAAGAUACCAGCUGGCUGCAACUGUUUAUUAAAAACACAGCACUGUGCAAACACGAAAGUGGACGUAUACGGUGUGACGCCUGCCCGGUGCCGGAAGGUUAAUUGAUGGGGUCAGCGCAAGCGAAGCUCUUGAUCGAAGCCCCGGUAAACGGCGGCCGUAACUAUAACGGUCCUAAGGUAGCGAAAUUCCUUGUCGGGUAAGUUCCGACCUGCACGAAUGGCGUAAUGAUGGCCAGGCUGUCUCCACCCGAGACUCAGUGAAAUUGAACUCGCUGUGAAGAUGCAGUGUACCCGCGGCAAGACGGAAAGACCCCGUGAACCUUUACUAUAGCUUGACACUGAACAUUGAGCCUUGAUGUGUAGGAUAGGUGGGAGGCUUUGAAGUGUGGACGCCAGUCUGCAUGGAGCCGACCUUGAAAUACCACCCUUUAAUGUUUGAUGUUCUAACGUGGACCCGUGAUCCGGGUUGCGGACAGUGUCUGGUGGGUAGUUUGACUGGGGCGGUCUCCUCCUAAAGAGUAACGGAGGAGCACGAAGGUUGGCUAAUCCUGGUCGGACAUCAGGAGGUUAGUGCAAUGGCAUAAGCCAGCUUGACUGCGAGCGUGACGGCGCGAGCAGGUGCGAAAGCAGGUCAUAGUGAUCCGGUGGUUCUGAAUGGAAGGGCCAUCGCUCAACGGAUAAAAGGUACUCCGGGGAUAACAGGCUGAUACCGCCCAAGAGUUCAUAUCGACGGCGGUGUUUGGCACCUCGAUGUCGGCUCAUCACAUCCUGGGGCUGAAGUAGGUCCCAAGGGUAUGGCUGUUCGCCAUUUAAAGUGGUACGCGAGCUGGGUUUAGAACGUCGUGAGACAGUUCGGUCCCUAUCUGCCGUGGGCGCUGGAGAACUGAGGGGGGCUGCUCCUAGUACGAGAGGACCGGAGUGGACGCAUCACUGGUGUUCGGGUUGUCAUGCCAAUGGCACUGCCCGGUAGCUAAAUGCGGAAGAGAUAAGUGCUGAAAGCAUCUAAGCACGAAACUUGCCCCGAGAUGAGUUCUCCCUGACUCCUUGAGAGUCCUGAAGGAACGUUGAAGACGACGACGUUGAUAGGCCGGGUGUGUAAGCGCAGCGAUGCGUUGAGCUAACCGGUACUAAUGAACCGUGAGGCUUAACCUU
rnacentral:rRNA from 1 species